UACGUAGGGAGCGAGCGUUGUUCGGAAUUACUGGGCGUAAAGAGUGUGUAGGCGGUGCUCCCAGUCUGUUGUGAAAUCUCCCGGCUUAACUGGGAGGGUGCAGCGGAAACUAGAGUGCUAGAGGGUGGGAGAGGUAAGCGGAAUUCCUGGUGUAGCGGUGAAAUGCGUAGAUAUCAGGAGGAACACCUGUGGUGUAGACAGCUUACUGGACCACUUCUUACGCUGAGACACGAAAGCGUGGGUAGCAAACAGG
rnacentral:rRNA from 1 species